rnacentral:lncRNA from 1 species
AGCCUCGCCACCCUUGGCCAUCCCCAGGGCACCUUGUUUGGCUUUCCUGCUUAAAUGGCAAAUAGGUGGCCUGGCCUGCGUCUUUGGAGCCCCUCUUAACCGGCCAAAACUUACACAUUUUGGCUGUUGAAUUUUGCUGGGCUGGGGUAGAUGAAAGGAUUGCUCCCAGGCUCAGUUGCCUGGCCAUCACAGCCAACUUUUUCCCGCAGCAGGGCUUGUCGGCCGGGUCUCUGUUCUGGAAAAGCCAUUUUUGGGGAAGUCCAAGGCUCUCAGGAUCCUCCUGGCACUGUAUCUUCCUUCCUCACCUUGGAUUUCAGGGCUGGAAACGGCAAGGAAAACCAGAGGCUGACAGUUCACAUAUCCUUAAAUAUACAAAUGGGGUGUCCUGGUGUGAAUGAUUCUGUUGAGGAUUCAUCAGCCUGCAGUGGACGAACUCUGGCUUCCAGCCCCCAGCAUUCGCAGCCAUGA